rnacentral:rRNA from 1 species
UACGGAGGAUGCGAGCGUUAUCCGGAUUUAUUGGGUUUAAAGGGUGCGUAGGCGGUCCGGAAAGUCAGCGGUAAAAGCCCGGGGCUCAACCCCGGCGAGCCGUUGAAACUGUCGGACUAGAGACGGCGAGAAGUACGCGGAAUGCGCGGUGUAGCGGUGAAAUGCAUAGAUAUCGCGCAGAACUCCGACUGCGAAGGCAGCGUACCGGCGCCGGACUGACGCUGAGGCACGAAAGCGUGGGUAUCGAACAGG